UACGUAGGGUGCGAGCGUUAAUCGGAAUUACUGGGCGUAAAGCGUGCGCAGGCGGUUUUGCAAGCCGGAUGUGAAAUCCCCGGGCUUAACCUGGGAAUGGCAUUUGGGACUGCAAGGCUGGAGUGCGGCAGAGGAGACUGGAAUUCCUGGUGUAGCAGUGAAAUGCGUAGAUAUCAGGAGGAACACCGAUGGCGAAGGCAGGUCUCUGGGCUGACACGUGACGCUCAUGCACGAAAGCGUGGGGAGCAAACAGG
rnacentral:rRNA from 1 species